UCGCCUGUUUAACAAAAACAUAGCUUUAUGGAUAAAUAAUUUAUAUAAAGUUUUACCUGCCCAAUGAUUAAGUUUGAAUGGCCGCAGUACUUUGACUGUGCUAAGGUAGCAUAAUAAGUUGACUUUUAAUUGGAGCCUGGAAUGAAAGGAUAAAUGGAUAUUUACUGUCUUUAAUAAAAUUAUAUUAAUUUUCUUAGUAGGUGAAAAUUCCUCUGGGUGAUUUAAAAAGACGAGAAGACCCUAGGAGUUUAGAAAAAUAAUUUUGUUGGGGCAACAUUAUAGCAAAUAAUCUAUAAUAUAAUAUUUAUAUAAAACGAAAUAUUUUAAUUAAAAUUAAACUACCCUAGGGAUAACAGCAUAAUUUACUAUUAAUUAAGUUUGUGACCUCGAUGUUGGACUAGGGACUUUAAAUAUUAACUAUAUUUAUUGAUUUGUUCUGUUCGAACAUUUUAUACCUACGUGAUCUGAGUUCAGACCGGA
rnacentral:rRNA from 1 species